rnacentral:rRNA from 1 species
GGGUUGUGAGGUUAAGCGAACAAGCGUACACGGUGGAUGCCCUGGCAGUCAGAGGCGAUGAAGGACGUGCUAAUCUGCGAAAAGCGCCGGUAAGGUGAUAUGAACCGUUAUAACCGGCGAUGUCCGAAUGGGGAAACCCGGUGCACUUCGGUGCAUCAUCGUUAGCUGAAUACAUAGGCUAACGAGGCGAACCGGGGGAACUGAAACAUCUAAGUACCCCGAGGAAAAGAAAUCAACCGAGAUUCCCCCAGUAGCGGCGAGCGAACGGGGAACAGCCCAGAGCCUGAAUCAGCUUGUGUGUCAGUGGAACGGUCUGGAAAGGCCGGCGAUACAGGGUGACAGCCCCGUACACGAAGGCACACAGGCUGUGAGCUCGAUGAGUAGGGCGGGACACGUGAUAUCCUGUCUGAAGAUGGGGGGACCAUCCUCCAAGGCUAAAUACUCCUGACUGACCGAUAGUGAACCAGUACCGUGAGGGAAAGGCGAAAAGAACCCCGGCGAGGGGAGUGAAACAGAACCUGAAACCGUGUACGUACAAGCAGUGGGAGCCUUCGUAAGAGGGUGACUGCGUACCUUUUGUAUAAUGGGUCAGCGACUUAUAUUCUGUAGCAAGGUUAACCGUAUAGGGGAGCCGAAGGGAAACCGAGUCUUAACCGGGCGUUAAGUUGCAGGGUAUAGACCCGAAACCCGGUGAUCUAGCCAUGGGCAGGUUGAAGGUUGGGUAACACUAACUGGAGGACCGAACCGACUAAUGUUGAAAAAUUAGCGGAUGACCUGUGGCUGGGGGUGAAAGGCCAAUCAAACCGGGAGAUAGCUGGUUCUCCCCGAAAGCUAUUUAGGUAGCGCCUCGUGAACUCAUCUCCGGGGGUAGAGCACUGUUUCGGCUAGGGGGCCAUCCCGGCUUACCAACCCGAUGCAAACUGCGAAUACCGGAGAAUGUUAUCACGGGAGACACACGGCGGGUGCUAACGUCCGUCGUGAAGAGGGAAACAACCCAGACCGCCAGCUAAGGUCCCAAAGUCAUGGUUAAGUGGGAAACGAUGUGGGAAGGCCCAGACAGCCAGGAUGUUGGCUUAGAAGCAGCCAUCAUUUAAAGAAAGCGUAAUAGCUCACUGGUCGAGUCGGCCUGCGCGGAAGAUGUAACGGGGCUAAACCAUGCACCGAAGCUGCGGCAGCGACACUAUGUGUUGUUGGGUAGGGGAGCGUUCUGUAAGCCUGUGAAGGUGUGCUGUGAGGCAUGCUGGAGGUAUCAGAAGUGCGAAUGCUGACAUAAGUAACGAUAAAGCGGGUGAAAAGCCCGCUCGCCGGAAGACCAAGGGUUCCUGUCCAACGUUAAUCGGGGCAGGGUGAGUCGACCCCUAAGGCGAGGCCGAAAGGCGUAGUCGAUGGGAAACAGGUUAAUAUUCCUGUACUUGGUGUUACUGCGAAGGGGGGACGGAGAAGGCUAUGUCGGCCGGGCGACGGUUGUCCCGGUUUAAGCGUGUAGGCUGACUUUCCAGGCAAAUCCGGAAGGUUAAGGCUGAGGCGUGAUGACGAGGCACCACGGUGCUGAAGUGACAAAUGCCCUGCUUCCAGGAAAAGCCUCUAAGCAUCAGGUAACAUCAAAUCGUACCCCAAACCGACACAGGUGGUCAGGUAGAGAAUACCAAGGCGCUUGAGAGAACUCGGGUGAAGGAACUAGGCAAAAUGGUGCCGUAACUUCGGGAGAAGGCACGCUGACAUGUAGGUGAAGCCCCUGCGGGUGGAGCUGAAGUCAGUCGAAGAUACCAGCUGGCUGCAACUGUUUAUUAAAAACACAGCACUGUGCAAACACGAAAGUGGACGUAUACGGUGUGACGCCUGCCCGGUGCCGGAAGGUUAAUUGAUGGGGUUAUCGCAAGAGAAGCUCCUGAUCGAAGCCCCGGUAAACGGCGGCCGUAACUAUAACGGUCCUAAGGUAGCGAAAUUCCUUGUCGGGUAAGUUCCGACCUGCACGAAUGGCGUAAUGAUGGCCAGGCUGUCUCCACCCGAGACUCAGUGAAAUUGAACUCGCUGUGAAGAUGCAGUGUACCCGCGGCAAGACGGAAAGACCCCGUGAACCUUUACUACAGCUUGACACUGAACAUUGAGCCUUGAUGUGUAGGAUAGGUGGGAGGCUUUGAAGCGUGGACGCCAGUCUGCGUGGAGCCGACCUUGAAAUACCACCCUUUAAUGUUUGAUGUUCUAACCUGGCGCCGUGAUCCGGCGUGGGGACAGUGUCUGGUGGGUAGUUUGACUGGGGCGGUCUCCUCCCAAAGUGUAACGGAGGAGCACGAAGGUCAGCUAAUCCUGGUCGGACAUCAGGAGGUUAGUGCAAUGGCAUAAGCUGGCUUGACUGCGAGAGUGACGGCUCGAGCAGGUGCGAAAGCAGGUCAUAGUGAUCCGGUGGUUCUGUAUGGAAGGGCCAUCGCUCAACGGAUAAAAGGUACUCCGGGGAUAACAGGCUGAUACCGCCCAAGAGUUCAUAUCGACGGCGGUGUUUGGCACCUCGAUGUCGGCUCAUCACAUCCUGGGGCUGAAGUAGGUCCCAAGGGUAUGGCUGUUCGCCAUUUAAAGUGGUACGCGAGCUGGGUUUAGAACGUCGUGAGACAGUUCGGUCCCUAUCUGCCGUGGGCGCUGGAGAAUUGAGGGGGGCUGCUCCCAGUACGAGAGGACCGGAGUGGACGCAUCACUGGUGUUCGGGUUGUCAUGCCAAUGGCAUUGCCCGGUAGCUAAAUGCGGAAGAGAUAAGUGCUGAAAGCAUCUAAGCACGAAACUUGCCCCGAGAUGAGUUCUCCCUGAGACUGUAAGUCUCCUGAAGGAACGUUGAAGACGACGACGUUGAUAGGCCGGGUGUGUAAGCGCAGCGAUGCGUUGAGCUAACCGGUACUAAUGAACCGUGAGGCUUAACCUUACAACGCCAAAGAAGU